GCCGUAUCAAUGGGCGGGUCAGCUGCUCGUGGAUUGUGUUUUCCCGCAUCAUAUAUUGCUCUUAGUUUUGGAAGCUUUUUUGGGCAUAUAACUGACAGGGAAAUAGAACACUGAGGGAAUGUCUUUGCAACUGUCUCAGCAUCAGCUAGUCGACUAUCUGUUUGUGCUUCAAUAUUUUCGUUCUGCUCCAGUUUCUGCAUCUGUGGUCGAUAAACUGGUGUAGGCAACGGAUAAGGGUUGCUUCCAGAAAUAAGUAUGCAAUGUUUUUUCCCUUCCAUUUUUUGUUGAGUUUGGUUACCAUU
rnacentral:misc_RNA from 1 species